rnacentral:lncRNA from 1 species
GACCACGACGAUGACCAUUGUGUUGGUUAUAAAGAUACAAAUUGUAUACAUAACCCCAGCUUCAGAAACAUUAGAUAAAUGUCCAACUUAUUAUUGAAAAUAUUGAUUCAAGAUGAAUUGAAUCUUUCCUAUAUACAAUGAGCUUCAGAAACAUUAGAUAAAUAUCCAACUUAUAAUUGAAAAAUAUUGAUUCAAGAUAAAUGGAACCUUUCCUAUAUACAAUGAGCUUAUUGUUGAAGGUUGCAUCUAUUGCGAUAUUAUUGCUGAAAUAAG